rnacentral:rRNA from 1 species
AGAGUUUGAUCAUGGCUCAGGAUGAACGCUAGCGGGAGGCUUAAUACAUGCAAGUCGAGGGGCAGCAUGACUAAACCUAGUUUAGUUGAUGGCGACCGGCGAACGGGUGAGUAACGCGUACGCAACUUACCUCCGAGUGAGGCAUAGCCCUGGGAAACUGGGAUUAAUACCUCAUAGUAUUUAGAUAUGGCAUCAUGUUUAGAUUAAAGCGUUAGUGCUCGGAGAUAGGCGUGCGUCCUAUUAGCUAGUUGGUGAGGUAAUGGCUCACCAAGGCAACGAUAGGUAGGGGGCGUGAGAGCGUGGACCCCCACACGGGUACUGAGACACGGACCCGACUCCUACGGGAGGCAGCAGUAAGGAAUAUUGGACAAUGGGCGCAAGCCUGAUCCAGCCAUCCCGCGUGCAGGAUGACAGCCCUCUGGGUCGUAAACUGCUUUUAUAUGGGAAGAAACCCCUCGAUUUAUUGGGGGCUGACGGUACCAUAAGAAUAAGCACCGGCUAAUUCCGUGCCAGCAGCCGCGGUAAUACGGAAGGUGCAAGCGUUAUCCGGAAUCACUGGGUUUAAAGGGUGCGUAGGCGGUUAGAUAAGUCAGAGGUGAAAGCUCACAGCUUAACUGUGGAAUUGCCUUUGAUACUGUUUAACUUGAAUCAGGUUGAGGUUGGCGGAAUGACAUGUAGCGGUGAAAUGCAUAGAUAUGUCAUAGAACACCAAUUGCGAAGGCAGCUAGCUAGACCUGCAUUGACGCUGAGGCACGAAAGCGUGGGGAGCGAACAGGAUUAGAUACCCUAGUAGUCC